CUUACCCGGGAAUCGAACCUGCGACCUUUCGGUUACGAGCCCAGUUCCUUACCCACUGUGCCACACUGCCGUCCCCGCUCCGGAGUUGAGUUCUUUAACGGGGCGUCCCAUACCUGCUAUCUCUCUCUCAAGCUGGGACCGCUGGACUUCCGCAUCCACCGGAUCGAGUUAAGGAAUAUUUUAGAAUCCACCAUUAGCCCAGACCUGCUCUGGGUUUUUCCUGCAUGGAGAAAUCCUUGGCGUGCACCAGUGCCAAAAUUUGCGAGCACCACAGCAGGGGUGGGGGGGAAGGAAAAGGGGAAAGGGGGAAAUAGGUGAAUGAAUAAUGCAGGAUGACCCCUACGUGAGACCUUACCGUCCAGGACGUGUCCCCACUUGUCACAACCCCGAAAAUCCCCGUUACUGUAAAUGAGUUGAAUGAAAAGUGCGAGAGUUCGAUGGAUGUUGUGUCAGAAGGUCUGUACUCAGGGGUGUGUUGGGUAAACCCUGUGAUGUGUCAGAAGGUCUGUACUCAGGUGUGUUGGGUAAACCCUGUGAUGUGUCAGAAGGUCUGUACUCAGGUGCGUUGGGUAAACCCUGUGAUGUGUCAGAAGGUCUGUACUCAGGUGUGUUGGGUAAACCCUGUGAUGUGUCAGAAGGUCUGUACUCAGGUGCGUUGGGUAAGUCCUGUGAUGUGUCAGGAGGUCUGUACUCAGGUGCGUUGGGUAAGUCCUGUGAUGUGUCAGAAGGUCUAUACUCAGGGGUGCGUUGGGUAAACCCUUUGAUGUGUCAGAAGGUCUGUACUCAGGGGUGUGUUGGGUAAACCCUUUGAUGUGUCAGAUGGUCUGUACUCAGGGGUGUGUUUGGUAAACCCUUUGAUGUGUCAGAAGGUCUGUACUCAGGGGUGCGUUGGGUAAACCCUGUGAUGUGUCAGAAGGUCUGUACUCGGGUGCGUUGGGUAAACCCUGUGAUGUGUCAGGAGGUCUGUACUCAGGUGCGUUGGGUAAACCCUGUGAUGUGUCAGAAGGUCUGUACUCAGGUGUGUUGGGUAAACCCUGUGAUGUGUCAGAAGGUCUGUACUCAGGUGCGUUGGGUAAGUCCUGUGAUGUGUCAGGAGGUCUGUACUCAGGUGCGUUGGGUAAGUCCUGUGAUGUGUCAGAAGGUCUAUACUCAGGGGUGCGUUGGGUAAACCCUUUGAUGUGUCAGAAGGUCUGUACUCAGGGGUGUGUUGGGUAAACCCUUUGAUGUGUCAGAUGGUCUGUACUCAGGGGUGUGUUUGGUAAACCCUUUGAUGUGUCAGAAGGUCUGUACUCAGGGGUGCGUUGGGUAAACCCUGUGAUGUGUCAGAAGGUCUGUACUCGGGUGCGUUGGGUAAACCCUGUGAUGUGUCAGGAGGUCUGUACUCAGGGGUGCGUUGGGUAAACCCUGUGAUGUGUCAGAAGGUCUGUACUCAGGGGUGCGUUGGGUGAGUCCUGUGAUGUGUCAGAAGGUCUGUACUCAGGGGUGUGUUGGGUAAACCCUGUGAUGUGUCAGAAGGUCUGUACUCGGGUGCGUUGGGUGAGCUGUCAGUGAAGUUGCUUGUGUACAGUGCGGCUCGUUCAGGCUUGGCGAUGGUGUUUUAUGAGGAGUACGCUCCGCAGUUUGCAAGCGUUCUGUCAGUUUGGCUCUUCCUGAAAGGCCUUGGCGCUCUCCCCUAUAAACAAAUGCUCGUACUCAUUUCUGGACACGGUUCUGAUUUCCCAUUCCAGCCGGAAAUGUUUAUCUUAGUCGGCAGCUUUCUUGAUCUAAGUUUGAAUUGUAGUUUCAAAUGCGCCAAUGUGAGCUUUGCUUCAGGAAUACGUGUUUAAAGUCACUUCACAACACUUCAGAGCUCUGAGUGUCAGUUUGAGCCUUUUCUGUUCUCUCAUGACUGUUGAUGCCGUGUGAGGUUUGAAUAUUGGCAGAACAGUAAAGUUGGAUUGAAUACCAGUGUUGUGAGGUUUGAAUAUUGGCAGAACAGUAAAGUUGGAUUGAAUACCAGUAUUGUGAGGUUUGAAUGUUGGCAGAACAGUAAAGUUGGAUUGAAUACCAGUGUUGUGAGGUUUGAAUAUUGGCAGAACAGUAAAGUUGGAUUGAAUACCAGUGUUGUGAGGUUUGAAUAUUGGCAGAACAGUAAAGUUGGAUUGAAUACCAGUGUUGUGAGGUUUGAAUAUUGGCAGAAC